CCUAGUAAACUCAGACAGACGCACAGGGAUCAGGUGAGGUUGAAGGUUUUGCACGGUUUGUUCUUUUAUUGCAAACCGUGUGGUGUUCUUAAGGUAGACGCCUCGAGUCUCGAAAGUGCUGUAGUGCUGAUACCUACAGCACUUCAAAGUUUGAAGUCUGAAAAUCUCAAAAAGUAUACAUUUUGUUUGCUAACUGGAGUUUUUUUCUUUUCUUGACUAAAAUUUGGAGAAGCGUUGACAAAUGGUAACUGGAUUUGACAGAUUUUAUGCCGAUCAGCCAACCUGGGACUUGGAAGUCAGAAACUACAAAUCGGAUCUUUUUCUGAUUAGUGAUCACACCACACCGCAUUUGCCCACCGCAUUAACAGAUGGACAACAACAUCUUUCAGUGCGGAUGUCGUUACCGAGGUGAGAAAAGUCAGUUGCUUAUUUUUAAUAUCAGGAAACUCUUUUGAAGUGAAGUCAGAGGAAGCAAAAAACCCCAAAAAACAAAAGCUGUUAGAAACUUUAAGAAAGGAAGUUGCACUGAAAUCUCCAGAGGGAACAUGCACGCAGACAGCUGAUAGCUAGUAAUGCUAGUCAAGCUAAUUAUGCUAACUGCAAGCAAAAGAUGCUGAAACCUGAUUAAAAUACAGACUAAACUAAUAAUGUUCACCUUGUUUUGACUGCAGAGCUGUGUAAGAACAACAACUCUCUCUCUCUCUCUCACACACACACACAGUGUGACAGCACCCCUGGCUCUGUUAUAAAUAAUUGGUCAUAGAAAGGCUUCUUAGAGCUACUGGAUAGUUACAAUGAAUGAAUAAAUGAUUUAACAAUUGAACAUAUUAUCAGACAAUUAAGUCAUAUAUUUUUCCCUCUCAGAUAUGAACUUUGACAAAAAAUGUAGAGAGCCUUAAUCUAUUUCAUCAAUGUUUUAGGGAAAAAAGUAAUAACUAUUUUUUUUAUAGUAGCUUAAUUGCAUACAUCUGUCCAUUAGUAACCUGGAGCAUUUUACUAAAACAGCUGUUGAAACCAUAGGCUAUUUUAGAGAAGAUUGUCUAUUUUUACGCUAGACACAUUAGAAAUAUUGUCAGAUUAUCCAGAAAGUAAAAUAAGUGUGUGUGUAGGCGUGUACGUGUGUAUGUAGGUAGGUAGGUAUGUAUGUAUGUAUGUACUACGUACAUACGUACGUAAAUUUUUUUAAAGAGAAAUUGAAUUUGAUUCAACUUGUCUGCAGGCACAAGCUUUAACAAAAAAAAA